rnacentral:rRNA from 1 species
GACGAACGCUGGCGGCGUGCUUAACACAUGCAAGUCGAGCGGUAAGGCCCUUUCGGGGGUACGACGAGCGGCGAACGGGUGAGUAACACGUGGGUAAUCUGCCCUCAGCUCUGGGAUAAGCCUGGGAAACCGGGUCUAAUACUGGAUAUGACUCCAUGACGCAUGUUGUGGGGUGGAAAGCCUUGUGCGGCUGAGGAUGGGCCCGCGGCCUAUCAGCUUGUUGGUGGGGUGAUGGCCUACCAAGGCGA